rnacentral:rRNA from 1 species
UACGUAGGGUGCAAGCGUUAAUCGGAAUUACUGGGCGUAAAGCGUGCGCAGGCGGUUAUGUAAGACAGUUGUGAAAUCCCCGGGCUCAACCUGGGAACUGCAUCUGUGACUGCAUAGCUAGAGUACGGUAGAGGGGGAUGGAAUUCCGCGUGUAGCAGUGAAAUGCGUAGAUAUGCGGAGGAACACCGAUGGCGAAGGCAAUCCCCUGGGCCGGCACUGACGCUCAUGCACGAAAGCGUGGGGAGCAAACAGG